rnacentral:rRNA from 1 species
CACUCCUGCGGGAGGCAGCAGUGAGGAAUAUUGGACAAUGGGUGGAAGCCUGAUCCAGCCAUCCCGCGUGCAGGAAGACGGCCCUAUGGGUUGUAAACUGCUUUUAUCUGGGGAUAAACCUACUUACGUGUAAGUAGCUGAAGGUACCAGAAGAAUAAGCACCGGCUAACUCCGUGCCAGCAGCCGCGGUAAUACGGAGGGUGCAAGCGUUAUCCGGAUUUAUUGGGUUUAAAGGGUCCGUAGGCGGACUGAUAAGUCAGUGGUGAAAUCCGACAGCUUAACUGUCGAACUGCCAUUGAUACUGUUAGUCUUGAGUAAGGUUGAAGUGGCUGGAAUAAGUAGUGUAGCGGUGAAAUGCAUAGAUAUUACUUAGAACACCAAUUGCGAAGGCAGGUCACUAAGUCUUAACUGACGCUGAUGGACGAAAGCGUGGGGAGCGAACAGGAUUAGAAACCCCAGUAGUCCCA